UUGGUGCUUGCAUCAUGAUUUACAUUUGAGUGAGUGGCGAACUGGUGAGUAACACGUGGGAAACCUGCCCAGAAGCGGGGGAUAACACCUGGAAACAGAUGCUAAUACCGCAUAACAACUUGGACCGCAUGGUCCGAGUUUGAAAGAUGGCUUCGGCUAUCACUUUUGGAUGGUCCCGCGGCGUAUUAGCUAGAUGGUGGGGUAACGGCUCACCAUGGCAAUGAUACGUAGCCGACCUGAGAGGGUAAUCGGCCACAUUGGGACUGAGACACGGCCCAAACUCCUACGGGAGGCAGCAGUAGGGAAUCUUCCACAAUGGACGAAAGUCUGAUGGAGCAACGCCGCGUGAGUGAAGAAGGGUUUCGGCUCGUAAAACUCUGUUGUUAAAGAAGAACAUAUCUGAGAGUAACUGUUCAGGUAUUGACGGUAUUUAACCAGAAAGCCACGGCUAACUACGUGCCAGCAGCCGCGGUAAUACGUAGGUGGCAAGCGUUGUCCGGAUUUAUUGGGCGUAAAGCGAGCGCAGGCGGUUUUUUAAGUCUGAUGUGAAAGCCUUCGGCUCAACCGAAGAAGUGCAUCGGAAACUGGGAAACUUGAGUGCAGAAGAGGACAGUGGAACUCCAUGUGUAGCGGUGAAAUGCGUAGAUAUAUGGAAGAACACCAGUGGCGAAGGCGGCUGUCUGGUCUGUAACUGACGCUGAGGCUCGAAAGUAUGGGUAGCAAACAGGAUUAGAUACCCUGGUAGUCCAUACCGUAAACGAUGAAUGCUAAGUGUUGGAGGGUUUCCGCCCUUCAGUGCUGCA
rnacentral:rRNA from 1 species